CACGACAUAGUAAAAGUUCAGUGAACAGUUUCUGGAAAGAGUGAAUGGAAUCUAGUCGCGUGGCAGAAUGCGACUUUUGCUGUGACCCCCCUGUGUCCACCCAGCCCGUGGAGUACGAGUAGCUUCAUUUUGCAGGUGACAAGUUAGUUGACCAACUUUCACAGCUUGUGAAUGUUCUUCUAACCAAGAAAUCUUUCAUAAUAAAGCAUUAGAGGUUGAAAGGGAAACAGCACCCAGGCCAGAGGGUCAGGGUGGCUACUGGCAGCAGAUGGGAGAUACACGUGUCAUGGUCACUUUGAGUAAAACUUAAUUUGAAUGUUAAAAAGUAUUUUAUCUCUCCUUGCUACAAACGUUAAUUGGGGGUAUAGUUGGGGAAGAGUUCUACCAAAUUAGCCUGAAUAUAGAAAGGAGUUAUUUUUCUUCAAGGAGUAGAGUCAACAAAGGCAGCCCCAGGCCCUGAAGACCGCCUCUGAGCAGAUUCACAGAAAGAAAGCCAUGACAGGCAAGUGUCUGGACCCUCACUGAGAAGACUGGAACAGCUGGGGAAUAACUCACAUGCCCAGGGGAUGGCAUCAUCUGGAGGCUCCCAGACACUGGGAACUAUUGACUGCUUCUCCGGCUCAUGACUUCUUUAACUGUGAGUUUCUCACAGCAUGGCGCUAGCUUCUAAAAGGGAGCUUCCCAAGAGCAAGUGUACUGAGAAAGUCAGGCAGAAGCUAUAUUUUCCUUUCCCACCUGGCUGUGAAAGACAUGUAGCAUCACUUCUGCUAUAUCCUACUGGUUGUGACCAACUCGGGCCAGCCCAGAUUCAAGGGCAGGGGAGUUACAUCCUACCUAUUCUUGCGGGGGGUGGGGGUGGCAAGGUCAUUUACAGCAGAACAUGUGCAACAGGAGCUCUUGUAGGCAUCUUUGGAAAAUACAAUCUGUCACAAUUUUCAGAUUUUCUUCCAGUGAAUAUACCAUUCUGAGUCAUGUGAGUAUGAAAAUGAGUUUAAUUUAGAAAUUAUUGUCACCAGGAGCAUCCAUCACUUACCUGAGUAUAGACACGUGUUACCAUCUCACAUUCUGAUACCCAUGGAAGACAUGACAAAUUGAUUGCAGCACCGUUCCUACUAAACUCAGGGCUCCAGAUACCAUCUCACGUUCCCAUACCCCUGACAGACAUGACAAAUUGAUUGCAGCACUGAUUCUACUAAGCUCAGGGCUCCAGAUACCAUCUCAUGUUCCUAUACCCCUGACAGACAUGACAAAUUGAUUGCAGCACCAUUCCUACUAAGCUCAGGGCUCCAGAUACCAUCUCACGUUCCCAUACCCAUGACAGACAUGACAAAUUGAUUGCAGCACUGAUUCUACUAAGCUCAGGGCUCCAGAAAACUCAACACAAUACACUAGACAAGAAAUAGUCAGAAACCACAACUGCACUGUGUGUUAACUAAAGUUUAAAUUUAAAGGGGGAAAAUUACUGAAAAAUAUUAAUCACUUCAGUGGGGAUAUGAAUGAAAACUUAUUUGCUACUUGGGAAUCUUCUUACUUUCUUACCUUUACAAUGUUUAACAAACACUUCACCUAGGGUGUGGAAGCCUACAGAACAGCCGGUCUGUAAAUUGAUGAAAAAUAUGUUCACAAUAUGGAGAAAAUUAGUGAUUACUGUUAAAUGAGAUAAAUCACAAUUGAUUUCAGAAACAGCCUAAACCAUACUAAUAAAAUAAUUUUAGUGGUAUUUUUAAACUAAGAAGUGGACUAGAGGUUGAUUUCACUAUCUUAAGGUCAUGGUCCCAGCUUUUUUCUGCAUUUUGACUCUUCCCAUCUGCCACUUUGCUGCCUUGGCUGUAACAGUCCCUCAUAUGUGACUUCAUGAAUUCUAAAGUUUGUAUAGCACUUUUCCAAGCACUUCAACUCACUGUCUCAUUUAAUCUUCACAGCUGUGCUGUGUAACAGAUUUGCAGUGAACACGACAUUUAGCAAUCAGAUUCUUUGUCCCAAAUCAUACAGAUUACUACUACAAAUAACGUAUAUUGAUCACCUUUUAGGUACCAGAUACCUUUAAUCACUUUAUAUACACCUUGUCAUUUAAUCCUUAUCCCUACCUGAAAGAUGGGAAUUAUUAGCUCCGUCUUACAAAUGAGCAAAUGGAGACUGUAUGAGAUUAAGUAAUUUGCCUGAGUUUGAAAUUAGCAAGUGGUAGAACUGAGAUUUGAACCUGAGUUGAUCAGACUAUAAAGUCCAGGUAAAACCUAGAGCUAGAACCAAGGCCUUGGUUAUUUCCAUUGAAAAAUAAAUUUAUUUUUUCAGAUUAUUAUUUUUUUUUUAAUGAUGGUUUGGGCAAGAUAAACUGAUAAUAAAAUUUUAUUACACUUUGAUAAUAAUGUUUUCUACUGAUCGAUGGCAGUGGUAGAGACACAUAUAUGCACAACUUAUAGUUGGAAAGAGGUCAAUGCCCAAGUUCAGGGGUCUUAAGUGUCCUCAGUAGAUCACCCCUUGCGAUGUGGUUGAUUUAUGGAAGAAAGACUCGGGAGCUUGCCACAUCUCCACAUCUCCCUGAAUCAGUCUGGUACUGGUUAUUCUGUGGGGAAAGUGCUUGGCAUCGUAAGAACAGCUCCUCUCAGAACCCCUGAAUUCAGGUUUAUGUUCCUGUCUGUAUGCUCAAGGCAGAUUUUCUUUUCUAUCAUUUAGCAAUUUCCAGAGAAAAAAGGAUUACCUUCAAAAUGACUCUUUGGUGGUGGGGGUGGGGGGAAUAGGUGGGAAGAGGACCUCUGACAACAGUGACCAGGGAUUCCCGCUCCUGGGUCCAGUAUGACUCUGAACCAGAGUGGCCCAUGGUGAGUAUUUGUGGAAUAAUGAUUCUCACCACCCUCACUCCUGUUCUGCAGUGAAAGAAUAUCCUGACUUCCAUAGCAAGGGGACAAUGUUCAGCCCAGCUAGCUCCUCCCCAGCCUCCCUUUCCAGGUUUAUCUCCAAUUACAAUCCAUUUCUUCAUCCUCCCAUCUUCAUAGUUUCCCAAAUAUCUCAUAUUUUUCCACAUUGGCCCGACUUUGCACACGCUGUUACAUCUGUUGGGAAAUUUUUCCUUAUUGUACCCCAGUGUGGUCUGCUGUGCCUCAUUCCUCUUCUAAGAGAAACCAGCUUCUGAUGGGGGAGAGGGUACGACCACACUUUGUACCAUGAGCCACCAUCACAUUUCCUGGCCACAGCUGAUUAGACCAGGGGUGAGCACCUGACUCAAGGGCAGCCAAUCCUCGAGUCAGCAACCUAUCACAUGACCUGUGGCUUGGUUCAAAAGGAUGAGCUAGAGUAAUCAGGAUUUCUAUUGAGAAUUUGAGGUAAGAAAAGAACAAAUUUGCUUUAUCUGCCUAGCCAGGAGUAAGUCUCUUCUGGGUGACCACAAUACUUCAUACCUCCUUACAGUAAUGUCUCAGCGAGAAAAAUGGUGUCUUGCAUUGUAUUCCCAAAGUCUGGUUCAAUGCCUGGUGCAUGGAAGAGACUCGGUAAAUAUGUAGUGAGUCCAUAAACUCAAGCAAGAAAAAUUCACAUUUCUUUAUUACCUCAGUGCAAUUUAAAUCUGGCUCUGACCCUUAUUUCAGUAGGCUGCCAGGAUUUUUUGCACACUUUUCAUGUAAUUUUUAUUCCCUUUUUCUACAUGAAAAAGCAGAGGUGCAGAGAGUUUAGGUAAUUUGCUUGAGGUCACAGUUGUAAUAAGUGACACAUCUCAGCUAAAACAUAGUAAGUCAAGUCCUUGCUUUUCAUCACUACCUCUCAGAUUUCAUCUCCAUCAUUGUGAUGCACCGAUGAAUGAAUAAAAUGCUCUGUGGACCUAAGACUCCUUGCCACCAUCAGUUGGUCCCUCUCUUUCUCAUGUUUCUUCAGCACUUAUUUCAUUCAUAUUUAAUCUAUCCACACCUUUUGCAGAGAACUUCCUGCAGUGUAAUAAUUAGAGCUAACAAUAGGUACUUGCCUUAUGCUACUUUCUGUCCCAGGGAAUAUAAGAGAAAAAUUGACUAAAUAUGGUUGAAAAUUUCAUAUUUUGAAAUACUAAUUCAAGGUGCUGUUAGUUCAAGAAGGCAUUAUUUUUUAAAGCCCAGAUGCUUUCCUCCUUUUGAAAAAUUUAACUUCAGAGUAAAAUUUUCCAGAUCAUCAGGUCAAGCCUUUGCUUGCUUUUCUUUGGAAGUUAGAGCUUAAGUUAUGGAGUGGUAUAGGUUUCAAAGCUCUGGAUAUUUCCCAUUAGAUCACGUUAAGUGCGAUGUGACAUACUAAGCAAUAUGUUUAUAAAAGUUUUUUUUUUUUUCUUUAAAUGGAUCUUACUCUUGUCAUUCUCUGCUUGGCGAUUUGGAAGUUUUUUGUAAUACGGCACAUUAAAAUCACACUGGUAAAGAG